rnacentral:rRNA from 1 species
AACGUAGGGGACAAGCGUUAUCCGGAUUUACUGGGCGUAAAGCGCCCGUAGGCGGCCUGACAAGUUGGACGUGAAAGCUCCUGGCUUAACUAGGAGAGGCCGUUCAAAACUGUCAAGCUAGAGUCUGGAAGAGGAGAGCGGAAUUCCCGGUGUAGUGGUGGAAUGCGUAGAGAUCGGGAGGAACACCAGUGGCGAAGGCGGCGAUCUGGGAAGAUACUGACGCUGAGGUGCGAAAGCGUGGGGAGCAAACAGG